GUGCUCGCUUUCACAGCACAUAUACUAAAAUUGGAACGAUACAGAGAAGAUUAGCAUGGCCCUUAUUUAAAAAAAUAAAUAAAUAAAAAAGACAGAUUAACCAAUUAA